rnacentral:rRNA from 1 species
UACGUAGGGUGCAAGCGUUAAUCGGAAUUACUGGGCGUAAAGCGUGCGCAGGCGGUUGUGCAAGACAGAUGUGAAAUCCCCGGGCUUAACCUGGGAACUGCAUUUGUGACUGCACGGCUAGAGUACGGCAGAGGGGGAUGGAAUUCCGCGUGUAGCAGUGAAAUGCGUAGAUAUGCGGAGGAACAUCAAUGGCGAAGGCAGUCCCCUGGGCCUGUACUGACGCUCAUGCACGAAAGCGUGGAGAGCAAACAGG